GAUGAACGCUGGCGGCGUGCUUAACACAUGCAAGUCGAACGGUGAAAGAGAGCUUGCUCUCUGGAUCAGUGGCGAACGGGUGAGUAACACGUGAGCAAUCUGCCCUUGACUCUGGGAUAAGCGCUGGAAACGGCGUCUAAUACCGGAUACGAGCUGCGAAGGCAUCUUCAGCAGCUGGAAAGAACUUCGGUCAAGGAUGAGCUCGCGGCCUAUCAGCUAGUUGGUGAGGUAACGGCUCACCAAGGCGUCGACGGGUAGCCGGCCUGAGAGGGGGACCGGCCACACUGGGACUGAGACACGGCCCAGACUCCUACGGGAGGCAGCAGUGGGGAAUAUUGCACAAUGGGCGCAAGCCUGAUGCAGCAACGCCGCGUGAGGGACGACGGCCUUCGGGUUGUAAACCUCUUUUAGCAGGGAAGAAGCGAAAGUGACGGUACCUGCAGAAAAAGCACCGGCUAACUACGUGCCAGCCGCCGCGGUAACAC
rnacentral:rRNA from 1 species